AACGAACGCUGGCGGCAGGCUUAACACAUGCAAGUCGAACGCCCCGCAAGGGGAGUGGCAGACGGGUGAGUAACGCGUGGGAAUCUACCGAGCCCUGCGGGAUAGCUCCGGGAAACUGGAAUUAAUACCGCAUGCGCCCUACGGGGGAAAGAUUUAUCGGGGUUUGAUGAGCCCGCGUUGGAUUAGCUAGUUGGUGGGGUAAAGGUCUACCAAGGCGACGAUCCAUAGCUGGUCUGGGAGGAUGAUCAGCCACAUUGGGACUGAGACACGGCCCAAACUCCUACGGGAGGCAGCAGUGGGGAAUAUUGGACAAUGGGCGCAAGCCUGAUCCAGCCAUGCCGCGUGAGUGAUGAAGGCCUUAGGGUUGUAAAGCUCUUUCACCGGAGAAGAUAAUGACGGUAUCCGGAGAAGAAGCCCCGGCUAACUUCGUGCCAGCCGCCGCCGUAAAAC
rnacentral:rRNA from 1 species